rnacentral:rRNA from 1 species
UGGGGAAUAUUGCACAAUGGAGGGAACUCUGAUGCAGCGACGCCGCGUGAACGAAGAAGGCUUUCGAGUCGUAAAGUUCUUUUAUAUGGGAAGAUAAUGACGGUACCAUAAGAAAAAGCCCCGGCUAACUACGUGCCAGCAGCCGCGGUAAUACGUAGGGGGCUAGCGUUGUCCGGAAUCACUGGGCGUAAAGGGUUCGCAGGCGGAAAUGCAAGUCAGGUGUAAAAGGCAGUAGCUUAACUACUGUAAGCAUUUGAAACUGCAUAUCUUGAGAAGAGUAGAGGUAAGUGGAAUUUUUAGUGUAGCGGUGAAAUGCGUAGAUAUUAAAAAGAAUACCGGUGGCGAAGGCGACUGACUGGGCUCAUGCUGACGCUGAGGAACGAAAGCGUGGGUAGCAAACAGG